CAUUUUUUUUUUCUUUAAGUAGGCAUAAUAAUCUCUUUAAACAGACAGUGGAAAAUGAAACGUUUGUAAAUUGAUAACAGUGAUUCACCUUCCCAUCCCCGCGCGUUUCCCCCCCUAUUUUAUUAACAGUAAUUGUUACUGAACACCAUUAUAACAAAAAACAAACAAAGCAAUCAUCACAGUGAUUGUAUGCUGUAACAAUGAUGAACAGGAAUGUUUACCAAAAUAUAUUUAUACCUAUAAAUAAAUACCUAGCAUUACAUACAUAUGUAUACACAUAUAUGUAAAAUGAAUAAUAAAGGAUUUUUUUUUUAUAAAAGCUUUUGAUUUAAAUGACAAAUCACUCAUUGCAAACAAAGCCAGUAUAUUUAGAUUUUCUAACACGUAGAACUGUGGUGCCGAAAUGCAUUUGUAAUUAAUGCUAAGAGAUUGCUUCUGAUCGGCUACAGUGUAGUAAAGUGGAAUUGAGGACACAAGCAUAUUUUCCUUGGUUGGUUGGUUGUACAGUAAGAAAUUAUUGUAUGCUAUAUUUAAAGCAAACCUGGCAAAUAUUAAAAAGAGGAGGAGGGUUGUAAAAACAAACAAACAAAUGCCUGUCCAAUGUAUAAUUGUAAAUAAUAAGGUAAAAAAAAAAAAGGUAAGGUUAUCUCUUUCUAUAAAGUACAGUAUAUGCAGCAAAUGUACAUUGGGGGGAAAAAAUAUAUAUAUAUAUAUAUCAAUUGAGUAACUUUAUGAAAUCCUUUGUGAUGUCACUGUGUAAUAGUUGAGUAGCACAAUAUGCUAAUUAACAAUAGACUAUUUAGACACUUUAACAUAACAGCCUAGUUUUACUGUGUGGGGUGGCACGGUGUUUGUAAAAUGGGAAGGGUCGUACUUUGGCCCUUUUACUGUGUGGGAUGGCAUGGUGCUUGUAAUAUGGGAAGGGUCGUACUUUGGCCCUUUUACUGUGUGGGGUGGUAUGGUGUUUGCAAAAUGGGGAGGGUCGUACUUUGUUUUUUUACUGUGGGGGUGGCAUGGCGUUUGUAAAAUGUGGAGGGUCCUGCUUUGGCCCUUUUACUGUGUGGGGUGGCAUGGUGCGUGUAAAAUGGCAAUGGCCCUCCAGGAGCUACUUUAAUUUCCCAGUGCAGACAUUUCUAUCGUAGAAAAUGGGGUGAUUAUAACGUAACAUAGAACAUUCUGAAAAAGGUUUUUUUUUUGCAGUAUAUACUUAUUUACUAUACAGUUACCUUUGGGAAACAAACAUUCUAUGCAUGAAUGGCUCACAUUAAUACCAAGUCUCUUGACACAUUCUUGGUCUAAAUAGGAGUGCAGCAAUUAAUGAAAUGAGAGUGGUAAGAUGGGCAUGGGAAUGGUGGGGAUUGAUUGGUAUGAUAUUAGGAAAAAAAACUGUAAUUAGGGGCAUAACAAGAGAAGCCCAAUGUUGUUCUAAAAAGAGGAGGCAAACAGAACAAUUUACAGAUUUCCCCUAUUCAGCUGCUUAGUGAUGGUAAAGCCAUUAUGAGUAUCUGUGUAUUCAAUUCCAACAAAGAACUUCUAAUAAGCAAGCUGCCUUGAGAACGCUGGUUGGAGGGCAGGAGCUGAUGUAAUCAGCCAUAACAUUGUGACUGUGUCUGUACUGGGUUUAAGGCUGGUAGCAGUGGCAUUCCAAAUCACUUUCUCACAUCUAUAGUGUGGUAAAAAAAAAACAUGAUAAUGUGCCUUUCUAAAAAUAAUAACAUUAAUAAUAAUAUUAACUAUAAUCAUAUGGACCAGCUAGGUGGCUAGUGGGGAAAAAAGGAAAGAGUGAAAAGAUGUAUAUAUUGAUGGGUCAUUUAAGUGUCUAGUAAAUAAAAACAACAAUUUCAAGUGCAAUUGGUGUGAGUCUUCAAAACAAAAGGAAUAUAAAAGCUGAAAUCAUUACCUAAUAAAAGUAUAAACAAAAUUUUACAACAAAAACCCCCUUUUUAAUGUCAGGCAUUUAAAAAAAAAAAAAAAAAAAUUCAAUCAAUCACAGAUUUCAGUCAAACUGCUUUGAAAAUCAUUAUGUUUUAAGUAGUUUGGGGUUUUGUUUGGACCUCGUAUUUAUCAGUUUUGGCACCAGUUUUAAAACUUGUUAGAAAGAUGAUCCAGAAGUAAAGUGAGCAGCCAAUCUUUGAGUAGGGCCUAGAUGCAUGCUGGGAAUAUCUCCUGAGCACAUGAGAAAAAACUGAUGCAUACCUAUAAUUUAAAAUAGUUAGUAUGUCCCUGUCCCCCAGUUUACUCUCUUUCUGACAUAAAAAGACUAACAGGGUUAUUCACUAAAGGUAGAAUUUUCGGGUAGUCAAAGUAAGUUCUGAAUUUUAGGACAAUAGCUGAACUAAAAAAAAAAAAAGACAAAAAAAAAAUUAAAUAAAAGUCAGCUAUGUUUCCAGUUUAUUUUCUUUGGCCCUAAAUUUCAAAUUUACUGUGAAUUCAUGCCAAUUCUGCCCUUACUGAAUAACCCCAUAUAUAAAUAAACCUCUGUACUAUUUGAACCAAUGUUAAAUUUUCGAGGGAAAAAUGCAAAGGUUUGCAAUAAUCUUAAAAGCUGCUAAAAUGGCAAAUGUCCCCAAACAAUCAAUUGUUUGCAGUGGUUUGUUGAAAUUAUUGAUAAAACUUGUUUCAACUUAUUUUCUGUAUGAAGAGUGAGUUACAGCUGAUUUCUUUAAAUCAGUACUUUACAUGCCUUUGCUUGUAAAUGUAACAUGAGAAAUGAUUUUUUUUUUUAAAAAGUGCAAAUUUAUAUAGAUUUAUGUUAGUGAAAAUAAUUUAAGUUUUCUGCAUGUUGAAUAAUAAAAUGGAAAAUGUCAUUGACAAUUUUCAUUUACCGAUUAUCAACGCAUUGCCAACAAUCCCAAAAUGUCUUCAUGCAAAAACACUUAAAACAAUUGUAAUUUUUAGAUUUUCUUUUUUUUUUUUUUUUUUACACAUGAUAGUCUUUUUUUACAAAUACUGAAUAUUAGAUUCAAAGUCACUUCAACUUUACAGUAAUUAAAGGAAUAUAUAAAAAGGUCAAUAUAUUGCUUUAUUUUCUUCUGUAUAGUACAGCAAUUAAGACUUGCAUUAUUCAUCUCUUGUGCUGAGAAAGCAGCAAUGAUCAGUAUGCAUCUAGUCUGCUUGUUUGAUUGGCUGUUAAUUCUUUGUAAUUUGUUGUAUAGCUAAUGGGGGGAAAAAAAGUUUAAGACAAUAGGGAAUUCUACCCUUGCCUUUAAUUCCUAUGUAAAAGGAGUUACACUGCAGUUAGGCUAAAAUCAAAUAUUCACUUUAGCGUAAAUAAGUUGAUAUUUAAUGUUCUCCAGUUUAACGUAUGGUUUUAUGAAGUGAAGGUAUACUUUAUGAAAAUGAAUGUCUGAAGUCAGCUGUGUAGGACUAUAUAUAAAAAAAAAAAAAAAUAGAUCUGUAUUGAUUUGAUAACAAGUUUAGA